GUCCUAGCCCUAAACGAUGGAUACUUGCUGUGACUGGGAUUGAAUCCAGUCGUGGCGAAGCUAACGCAUUAAGUAUCCCGCCUGGGGAGUACGGUCGCAAGGCUGAAACUCAAAGGAAUGACGGGGGCCCCGCACAAGCGGUGGAGUAUGUGGUUUAAUUCGACGCAACGCGAAGAACCUUACCUGGGCUCGAACGGCUAGUGACAGGUGGCGAAAGUCGCUUUUCCCGCAAGGGACACUAGUCGAGGUGCUGCAUGGCUGUCGU
rnacentral:rRNA from 1 species